AGUGAACGCUGGCGGUAGGCCUAACACAUGCAAGUCGAACGGCAGCACAGUAAGAGCUUGCUCUUACGGGUGGCGAGUGGCGGACGGGUGAGGAAUACAUCGGAAUCUACUUUUUCGUGGGGGAUAACGUAGGGAAACUUACGCUAAUACCGCAUACGACCUACGGGUGAAAGCAGGGGAUCUUCGGACCUUUCGCGAUUGAAUGAGCCGAUGUCGGAUUAGCUAGUUGGCGGGGUAAAGGCCCACCACGGCGACGAUCCGUAGCUGGUCUGAGAGGAUGAUAGGCCGCACUGGAACGGAGACACGGACCAGACUCCUGCGAGAGGCAGCAGUGGGGAAUAGUGGGCAAUGGGCGCAAGCCUGAUACAGCCAUAGCGCGUGGGUGAAGAAGGCGUUGGGUUUGGGAAGCCCUUUUGCUGGGAAAGAAAAGCAGCCGGUUAAUACGCAGCGGUACUGACGGUACCCGAAGAAGAAGCACCGGCUAACUACGUG
rnacentral:rRNA from 1 species